AAAGAUAUUCGUGUCAGACACGUGACGGCGCACAUUAGCAGACGACUAUUAGCCAGCAGAUUAUUAUUUAAGUACCAAGAGGGCGCAGGCUUCGGUUGUCAUCCCCACAAGUACUUCCUUCUUUCUCUCUUUCUCGAUCUCGCUUGAGCCCCGCUUUCAAAACCUCUCGUUGUAUAGGGAUUACUGUUUGUUGGUUCUGGAUUUCAGAGUUCAUGACGACGACGGCCUCUUUUGGAGCUGCGAACACUGCAGUUUUGAAAGACCCGAAGAUCAAAAUACGGAGUUUUGAUGGUUUGAGGCAUUCAAAUUCUCUUGCUUUGACCAGACCUGAGAAUGUAUUUUCUGUUUCUUCGUCCAGACCUUCGCUUAUACGAGCUGUUUCGACGCCAGUGAAGCCAGAAAAAGAGACUAAGCGCAGCAAGGUUGAAAUAAUCAAAGAACAUAGUAAUUACAUCAGGUACCCUCUUAAUGAGGAGUUGCUGACAGACGCCCCAAAUAUUAAUGAGUCUGCUACCCAAAUAAUCAAGUUCCAUGGGAGCUAUCAGCAGUAUAACAGAGAUGAACGUGGUGCAAAAUCCUACUCUUUUAUGCUUCGAACUAAGAACCCUUGUGGCAAGGUCUCAAACAAACUGUACUUGACCAUGGAUGAUCUUGCUGAUCAGUUUGGAAUUGGAACUCUUCGUUUGACAACCAGACAGACAUUUCAACUCCAUGGUGUUUUGAAGAAAAACCUCAAGACUGUAAUGAGUAGUAUCAUUCAUAGCAUGGGCACAACUCUUGGUGCAUGCGGUGAUCUCAACCGGAAUGUCCUGGCCCCUGCUGCCCCAUUUGCGAGAAAAGAUUACCAAUUUGCACAGAAAACUGCUGAGAAUAUUGCCGCACUCCUCACUCCUCAGUCUGGGUUCUACUAUGAUAUGUGGGUGGAUGGGGAGAAAAUCUUGACAGCUGAACCUCCUGAGGUAGUGGAGGCCCGCAAUGACAAUUCUCAUGGAACAAAUUUUCCAGACUCACCAGAGCCCAUUUAUGGAGCCCAAUUCUUGCCUAGAAAGUUCAAAAUUGCCGUCACUGUGCCGGCAGAUAACUCAGUGGAUAUUCUCACAAAUGACGUUGGUAUUGUUGUGGUUACAGAUGCCAAUGGGGAGCCCCAGGGGUUCAACAUAUAUGUUGGUGGUGGUAUGGGAAGAACACAUAGGCUGGAGAACACUUUUCCACGUCUGGCUGAACCAUUGGGCUAUGUACCAAAAGAAGACAUUUUAUAUGCAGUGAAAGCUAUUGUUGUUACCCAACGAGAAAAUGGGAGGAGAGAUGAUAGAAAAUACAGUAGAAUGAAAUAUUUGAUCAGUUCCUGGGGGAUUGAGAAGUUCAGAAGUGUCGUCGAGCAAUAUUAUGGAAAGAAAUUU
rnacentral:misc_RNA from 1 species